CCAUCACUCAAGUGCCUCGCACUGAGUGAUGCAAGAACAUCACCGAAAAUAGCGCCGAAUUUGCUAACAAGGUUGGUCGAUUUUUUCAAGCCGUCGCGCAGUGUACCUAGAAGUACACGAGCAACGGAAGUUAAAAAAUCGGGCAAGAUUGAACGCAAAGGCAAGCGGGACAUUUGAGGAUGGGGUGACUGCGUACCUUUUGUAUAAUGGGUCAGCGACUUAUAUUCUGUAGC
rnacentral:rRNA from 1 species